rnacentral:lncRNA from 7 species
UGCAGGAGCUGCUUUGGCAUGGAGGAUUUUCUGGAGUUGCUGCCAGUCGUUGCUGGAAAAGAAGCGUGACUUGUGGGCUCUGAGGAGGGGAUUUCGUGUUUUCAUGGCGUACGAAUGCAUUCCCUUUUCUGUGGAAGUGACCAACCAUCUGCACAGGACGCACUGCGGUUUGGCAGCCAUCCCACACUGCCAGUCUUGGCCAGAGGAACACAGACAGCGCCGACAACUGGCAUGCCAGGGGUGGAUGCUGGGAAAAACACAAGGGCUGUGCUUCAGGAGUUUCUGCAGGUGCACUUCACCCUAGUGAUCGCAGUGCUUGUAACUGUGCUGCUGUCUGGGCUGGUGAUGACCUGUAUUGCUGUGUCGUGGAUGUGGCACAAAUAUCCAGUGUGCAAGAGGGCAGAGACAGCUCCAGGACAAGCUCAUCCUGAGAGUGACCGGGAGAGAGGCCAAUCUGGAGGUGAAGGCAGAGCGGAGCUGGGAGAGGCAACAGAAGAUGCCGUAGUUGCCCAAGAAAAAAAGAAUGUGUCCAGCGGAUCCAGCCCGUUCCCCUCCUCCUUUGAAGCAGAGUUUGAACAGCUGUGCAGCAAAAUCAGCACAGACCCUUCCCCUUUGGCCCACGUGUCCCAGCAGCUCUCCCACGGACGGCGUCUCUUCCCCAGAUGCCCGCGGUUCUCGGGGUUCCCCAUAGCCAUCUAGUGCCCCGGUUACCUGUGUCAGCAGGGCUGGGGUCCCCUGGAAGACCCCGCUUUGUGAGUAAUAGACACCCUGU